UACGUAGGGUGCGAGCGUUAAUCGGAAUUACUGGGCGUAAAGCGUGCGUAGGCGGUUCGUUAAGUUCGUUGUGAAAGCCCCGGGCUCAACCUGGGAAUGGCAAUGGAAACUGGCGGGCUGGAGUAUGGCAGAGGGGGGUGGGAAUUCCGCGUGUAGCAGUGAAAUGCGUAGAGAUGUGGAGGAACACCGAUGGCGAAGGCAGCCCCCCUGGGCUAACACUGACGCUCAUGCACGAAAGCGUGGGGAGCAAACAGG
rnacentral:rRNA from 1 species